rnacentral:rRNA from 1 species
GAUGAACGCUAGCGGCAGGCUUAAUACAUGCAAGUCGAGGGGCAGCAGGUCUGUAGCAAUACAGAUGCUGGCGACCGGCAAACGGGUGCGGAACACGUACAGAACCUUCCUUCGAGCGGGGAAUAGCCCAGAGAAAUUUGGAUUAAUACCCCAUAGUAUAUUGAAGAGGCAUCUCUUUAAUAUUAAAGAUUUAUCACUUGAAGAUGGCUGUGCGGCUGAUUAGGUAGUUGGCGGGGUAACGGCCCACCAAGCCUGCGAUCAGUAACUGGUGUGAGAGCACGACCAGUCACACGGGCACUGAGACACGGGCCCGACUCCUACGGGAGGCAGCAGUAA